rnacentral:misc_RNA from 1 species
GUAGGUGAACCUGCGGAAGGAUCAUUACUGAGAUGGGGUUCUUUUGAGCCCGACCUCCAACCCUUUGUCUACAAAACCACUGUUGCCUCGGCGGGCCGCCAGCGUCUCUUUUGGCGCUGCCGUCGGCUUUGCGCUUUCGAGUGCCCGCCGCAGGACCCUUCAACUCUUUUAUAAAACAGUAUUAUCUGAGUGGGAAUUAAUGCUUCAAUUAAAACUUUCAACAACGGAUCUCUUGGUUCUG